UGAUGGACUCUUCAAGGUAUUUCGUUGGCAAACUGGCAAUCUUAUUAGCUUUCUUCAUUGUGGCUUCAAGUAUGUGCAUUGAAUCAAAAGUAAAACCCAUUUUAGGGCCCAGUCGAGUACAAUGUUUCUUCGACUUUCAGUGUAAAAUUGGAUGUCCGUUUCCAAUUUGUGGCUGCAAUCUCAAAUGUGUUGGCCACAAGUGUCAAUGUCUAGGGUCAACAACUUCAACCAAUAAUUUUCUUAAUCGAGUACCCCUAGAUUGAGUACCAGAAUCUUGUGAUGCAAUUAUCAAGUUCUAAAUAAUAAUUGUUCAUUAUCAUGAAUAAUGAAUUAUUGCAUCUCUUAUGUAUCUAAACAUUACAUAAUCAAUACUAAUAAAAUUUAAGCUUUACUUUUUC